AGUGAUUCACCUGAUAUCCACUUUUGAUCUUUCAAUCAUCUUCAUGGCCUCAUUCAAGAACAAAGGAUCAUCUUCAUCCAUGCCAACUCAGCCACCGUCUCCUCCAACCCUACCUCCAAGACUGACUUCAAAACAAGUCAGUAAUUUUGCCAGAAAUAUGAUGUUCCAUUACCUCUCCGUCAUUCAACAAACUUUCAAGAUCCCAAU
rnacentral:lncRNA from 1 species